AGUCAUGUGCUUAAGGUUAUUCAUGUACUUAAGAAUUGCACAAGAGGUGGCUUUUUCUCCAGAGGCUCACUAGUUAUUAGAGAGAGGAUACACAUAUAUACACACACACGUACUCCAGGCUAUACAUACAUCUGUGGAAGCCAUGCUCAGGAAUGACAACUACAUAUAAAACAAAGUCUUCGUAUAACAUAAGUUAUGACUUCUGAUUAUUUAAAAUUGGGAGAAGAUAACUGGAUAAAGAGGGAUCUCCAGUGCAGGAGGAAACAGCAUAGACCACCAGAGAAGAACUUCCUGUGUCUAACUCUGUGUUGUUGUAGAAGAC
rnacentral:lncRNA from 1 species